GUGGGGGAUAUUGCGCAAUGGGGGAAACCCUGACGCAGCAACGCCGCGUGAAGGAAGAAGGCCUUCGGGUUGUAAACUUUUGUCUUUUGGGAAGAAGAAUGACGGUACCAAAGGAGGAAGCCACGGCUAACUACGUGCCAGCAGCCGCGGUAAUACGUAGGUGGCGAGCGUUGUCCGGAAUUACUGGGUGUAAAGGGCGUGUAGGCGGGUAGAUAAGUCAGAUGUGAAAUACCGGGGCUCAACCCCGGGGCUGCAUUUGAAACUGUCAAUCUUGAGUGCCGGAGAGGAAAGCGGAAUUCCUAGUGUAGCGGUGAAAUGCGUAGAUAUUAGGAGGAACACCAGUGGCGAAGGCGGCUUUCUGGACGGUAACUGACGCUGAGGCGCGAAAGCGUGGGGAGCAAACAGG
rnacentral:rRNA from 1 species